rnacentral:rRNA from 1 species
CCUACGGGCGGCAGCAGUGGGGAAUAUUGCGCAAUGGGCGAAAGCCUGACGCAGCGACGCCGCGUGAGGGAUGAAGGUCUUCGGAUCGUAAACCUCUGUCAGCAGGGAAGAACGGUCACUGUGCUAAUCAGCAGUGAAUUGACGGUACCUGCAAAGGAAGCACCGGCUAACUACGUGCCAGCAGCCGCGGUAAUACGGAGGGUGCGAGCGUUAAGCGGAAUUACUGGGCGUAAAGGGCUCGUAGGCGGUAUGUCAAGUCAAGGGUGAAAUCCCCGCGCUCAACGGGGGAACUGCCUUUGAAACUGGCAAACUUGAGUGUGUGAGAGGAUAGUGGAAUUCCAGGUGUAGGAGUGAAAUCCGUAGAUAUCUGGAGGAACAUCAGUGGCGAAGGCGCCUAUCUGGCACAUAACUGACGCUGAGGAGCGAAAGCGUGGGUAGCAAACAGGAUUAGAUACCCCAGUAGUC